rnacentral:rRNA from 1 species
AGUGAACGCUGGCGGUAGGCCUAACACAUGCAAGUCGAACGGCAGCACAGUAAGAGCUUGCUCUUACGGGUGGCGAGUGGCGGACGGGUGAGGAAUACAUCGGAAUCUACUUUUUCGUGGGGGAUAACGUAGGGAAACUUACGCUAAUACCGCAUACGACCUACGGGUGAAAGCAGGGGAUCUUCGGACCUUGCGCGAUUGAAUGAGCCGAUGUCGGAUUAGCUAGUUGGCGGGGUAAAGGCCCACCAAGGCGACGAUCCGUAGCUGGUCUGAGAGGAUGAUCAGCGACACUGGAACUGAGACACGGUCCAGACUCCUACGGGAGGCAGCAGUGGGGAAUAUUGGACAAUGGGCGCAAGCCUGAUCCAGCCAUCCCGCGUGGGUGAAGAAGGCCUUCGGGUUGUAAAGCCCUUUUGUUGGGAAAGAAAAGCAGCAGGUUAAUACCCCGCGGUUCUGACGGUACCCAAAGAAUAAGCACCGGCUAACUUCGUG